UUGAUGAUGCCUUAUUGUCAGACAGCGAUUCCGUAGUCCUAGUGGUGUAUCUGGUCCUUAGACUUGAGACACCAAGGAUGUCCUGUAUGAGUGCUCCACUCUUUGAUACCAGACUUAUAGGUUUGGCUGUCCCCAGAUCUAGUACAGCUGGUCAUUGGGAGUGGUAGUUGACCUUACGAGGGCUAUUGAGUGUCGACAGAGGAUCAUCCACUCUCGGCGUCAUGAGAGGAAUAUCCCAUGUGUUCUUACUCAGACAAAUCCCUGGCCAGGGUCAUUCGGGUUGAGAGAGAAAGAGUUCUCCGGGAGAAUCCGAUUAGAGCGAGACUCGAGUAGAAACUGUAUGGGUCUGACAACACCAUGCUCGAUAUACGGUCUCUGGGAUAUUAGAUGGAUGAGGGACUAUAGGUACAUGGUAACUGAGGACAGACAGG
rnacentral:lncRNA from 1 species